GGUGGCUCAGUGGUUAGAGUGCUUGCUUUCAAUGCAUGAAGCCCUGGGUUCGAUUCCUCAGCACCA
rnacentral:tRNA from 1 species